GACGAACGCUGGCGGCGUGCUUAACACAUGCAAGUCGAACGGAAAGGCCCUGCUUUUGUGGGGUGCUCGAGUGGCGAACGGGUGAGUAACACGUGAGUAACCUGCCCUUGACUUUGGGAUAACUUCAGGAAACUGGGGCUAAUACCGGAUAGGAGCUCCUGCUGCAUGGUGGGGGUUGGAAAGUUUCGGCGGUUGGGGAUGGACUCGCGGCUUAUCAGCUUGUUGGUGGGGUAGUGGCCUACCAAGGCUUUGACGGGUAGCCGGCCUGAGAGGGUGACCGGCCACAUUGGGACUGAGAUACGGCCCAGACUCAUACGGGAGGCAGCGGUGGGGAAGAUGGCACAAUGGGCGGAAGCCUGAUGCAGCAACGCCGCGUGCGGGAUGACGGCCUUCGGGUUGUAAACCGCUUUCGCCUGUGACGAAGCGUGAGUGACGGUAAUGGGUAAAGAAGCACCGGCUAACUACGUG
rnacentral:rRNA from 1 species